rnacentral:rRNA from 1 species
GAUGAACGCUAGCGGCAGGCCUAAUACAUGCAAGUCGAACGGUGUCUUCGGACAUAGUGGCGCACGGGUGCGUAACACGUAUGCAACCUACCUUACAUUGGGGGAUAGCCUUUCGAAAGGGAGAUUAAUACCGCAUAAGACAGUAACUAGGCAUCUAGUAGCUGUUAAAGAUUUAUCGAUGUAAGCUGGGCAUGCGUCCAAUUAGCUAGUUGGUGAGGUAACGGCUCACCAAGGCAAUGAUUGGUAGGGGAACUGAGAGGUCAAUCCCCCACACUGGCACUGAGAUACGGGCCAGACUCCCACGGGAGGCAGCAGUAGGGAAUAUUGGGCAAUGGACGCAAGUCUGACCCAGCCAUGCCGCGUGCAGGAUGAAGGCGUUAUGCGUUGUAAACUGCUUUUAUACAGGAAGAAACGACUCUUGCGAGAGGCAUUGACGGUACUGUAUGAAUAAGCACCGGCUAACUCCGUGCCAGCAGCCGCAGUAAAAC